UUAAGCGACUAAGCGUACACGGUGGAUGCCCUGGCAGUCAGAGGCGAUGAAGGACGUGCUAAUCUGCGAUAAGCGUCGGUAAGGUGAUAUGAACCGUUAUAACCGGCGAUUUCCGAAUGGGGAAACCCAGUGUGUUUCGACACACUAUCAUUAACUGAAUCCAUAGGUUAAUGAGGCGAACCGGGGGAACUGAAACAUCUAAGUACCCCGAGGAAAAGAAAUCAACCGAGAUUCCCCCAGUAGCGGCGAGCGAACGGGGAGCAGCCCAGAGCCUGAAUCAGUGUGUGUGUUAGUGGAAGCGUCUGGAAAGGCGCGCGAUACAGGGUGACAGCCCCGUACACAAAAAUGCACAUGCUGUGAGCUCGAUGAGUAGGGCGGGACACGUGGUAUCCUGUCUGAAUAUGGGGGGACCAUCCUCCAAGGCUAAAUACUCCUGACUGACCGAUAGUGAACCAGUACCGUGAGGGAAAGGCGAAAAGAACCCCGGCGAGGGGAGUGAAAAAGAACCUGAAACCGUGUACGUACAAGCAGUGGGAGCACGCUUAGGCGUGUGACUGCGUACCUUUUGUAUAAUGGGUCAGCGACUUAUAUUCUGUAGCAAGGUUAACCGAAUAGGGGAGCCGAAGGGAAACCGAGUCUUAACUGGGCGUUAAGUUGCAGGGUAUAGACCCGAAACCCGGUGAUCUAGCCAUGGGCAGGUUGAAGGUUGGGUAACACUAACUGGAGGACCGAACCGACUAAUGUUGAAAAAUUAGCGGAUGACUUGUGGCUGGGGGUGAAAGGCCAAUCAAACCGGGAGAUAGCUGGUUCUCCCCGAAAGCUAUUUAGGUAGCGCCUCGUGAAUUCAUCUCCGGGGGUAGAGCACUGUUUCGGCAAGGGGGUCAUCCCGACUUACCAACCCGAUGCAAACUGCGAAUACCGGAGAAUGUUAUCACGGGAGACACACGGCGGGUGCUAACGUCCGUCGUGAAGAGGGAAACAACCCAGACCGCCAGCUAAGGUCCCAAAGUCAUGGUUAAGUGGGAAACGAUGUGGGAAGGCCCAGACAGCCAGGAUGUUGGCUUAGAAGCAGCCAUCAUUUAAAGAAAGCGUAAUAGCUCACUGGUCGAGUCGGCCUGCGCGGAAGAUGUAACGGGGCUAAACCAUGCACCGAAGCUGCGGCAGCGACGCUGAUGCGUUGUUGGGUAGGGGAGCGUUCUGUAAGCCUGCGAAGGUGUGCUGUGAGGCAUGCUGGAGGUAUCAGAAGUGCGAAUGCUGACAUAAGUAACGAUAAAGCGGGUGAAAAGCCCGCUCGCCGGAAGACCAAGGGUUCCUGUCCAACGUUAAUCGGGGCAGGGUGAGUCGACCCCUAAGGCGAGGCCGAAAGGCGUAGUCGAUGGGAAACAGGUUAAUAUUCCUGUACUUGGUGUUACUGCGAAGGGGGGACGGAGAAGGCUAUGUUGGCCGGGCGACGGUUGUCCCGGUUUAAGCGUGUAGGCUGGUUUUCCAGGCAAAUCCGGAAAAUCAAGGCUGAGGCGUGAUGACGAGGCACUACGGUGCUGAAGCAACAAAUGCCCUGCUUCCAGGAAAAGCCUCUAAGCAUCAGGUAACAUCAAAUCGUACCCCAAACCGACACAGGUGGUCAGGUAGAGAAUACCAAGGCGCUUGAGAGAACUCGGGUGAAGGAACUAGGCAAAAUGGUGCCGUAACUUCGGGAGAAGGCACGCUGAUAUGUAGGUGAAGUCCCUCGCGGAUGGAGCUGAAAUCAGUCGAAGAUACCAGCUGGCUGCAACUGUUUAUUAAAAACACAGCACUGUGCAAACACGAAAGUGGACGUAUACGGUGUGACGCCUGCCCGGUGCCGGAAGGUUAAUUGAUGGGGUCAGCGCAAGCGAAGCUCUUGAUCGAAGCCCCGGUAAACGGCGGCCGUAACUAUAACGGUCCUAAGGUAGCGAAAUUCCUUGUCGGGUAAGUUCCGACCUGCACGAAUGGCGUAAUGAUGGCCAGGCUGUCUCCACCCGAGACUCAGUGAAAUUGAACUCGCUGUGAAGAUGCAGUGUACCCGCGGCAAGACGGAAAGACCCCGUGAACCUUUACUAUAGCUUGACACUGAACAUUGAGCCUUGAUGUGUAGGAUAGGUGGGAGGCUUUGAAGUGUGGACGCCAGUCUGCAUGGAGCCGACCUUGAAAUACCACCCUUUAAUGUUUGAUGUUCUAACGUUGACCCGUAAUCCGGGUUGCGGACAGUGUCUGGUGGGUAGUUUGACUGGGGCGGUCUCCUCCUAAAGAGUAACGGAGGAGCACGAAGGUUGGCUAAUCCUGGUCGGACAUCAGGAGGUUAGUGCAAUGGCAUAAGCCAGCUUGACUGCGAGCGUGACGGCGCGAGCAGGUGCGAAAGCAGGUCAUAGUGAUCCGGUGGUUCUGAAUGGAAGGGCCAUCGCUCAACGGAUAAAAGGUACUCCGGGGAUAACAGGCUGAUACCGCCCAAGAGUUCAUAUCGACGGCGGUGUUUGGCACCUCGAUGUCGGCUCAUCACAUCCUGGGGCUGAAGUAGGUCCCAAGGGUAUGGCUGUUCGCCAUUUAAAGUGGUACGCGAGCUGGGUUUAGAACGUCGUGAGACAGUUCGGUCCCUAUCUGCCGUGGGCGCUGGAGAACUGAGGGGGGCUGCUCCUAGUACGAGAGGACCGGAGUGGACGCAUCACUGGUGUUCGGGUUGUCAUGCCAAUGGCACUGCCCGGUAGCUAAAUGCGGAAGAGAUAAGUGCUGAAAGCAUCUAAGCACGAAACUUGCCCCGAGAUGAGUUCUCCCUGACCCUUUAAGGGUCCUGAAGGAACGUUGAAGACGACGACGUUGAUAGGCCGGGUGUGUAAGCGCAGCGAUGCGUUGAGCUAACCGGUACUAAUGAACCGUGAGGCUUAACCUU
rnacentral:rRNA from 2 species